rnacentral:rRNA from 1 species
CCCUUAGAUGUUCUGGGCAGCACGCGCGCUACAAUGGUCUUCGCAAACGGAUGCAUUCUCGAAGGAGAAUGCCAAUCUUGGAAUCUAUGCCUUGGUCGGGACAGUUGCUUGCAAUUCUUCGACUCGAACCAGGAAUUCCUUGUAAUCGUGAUUCAUCACAUCACGAUGAAUACGUCCCUGCCCUUUGUACACACCGCCCGUCGCUCCUACCGAUUGAGUGGUCCGGUGAGGCUUUGGGAUCUGAGCGGAAAGAGCGUUUCGCUGUUUCUGCUCGGAAAACUCAGUCGAACCUUAUCAUUUAGAGGAAGGAGAAGUCGUAACA